CACGUAGUUAGCCGGGGCUCCUUAGUCAGGUACCGUCAUUUUUUUCUUCCCUGCUGAUAGAGCUUUACAUACCGAAAUACUUCUUCACUCACGCGGCGUCGCUGGAUCAGGGUUUCCCCCCAUUGUCCAAUAUUCCCCACUGCUGCCUCCUGUAGGAGUUUGGGCCGUGUCUCAGUCCCAAUGUGGCCGUCCACCCUCUCAGGCCGGCUACUGAUCGUCGCCUUGGUGGGCCGUUACCCCACCAACCAGCUAAUCAGACGCGGGUCCAUCAUAUACCACCGUAGUUUUUCACACUGUCUCAUGCAAAACUGUGCGCUUAUGCGGUAUUAGCACCUAUUCUAAGUGUUAUCCCCCUGUAUAUGGCAGGUUACCCACGCGUUACUCACCCGUCCGCCACUAAGUCAUCAACACUUUCCACUCUUAGCAGCUAAUUGCUUACAAAAAUGAUGACUCCGUUCGACUUGCAUGUGUUAAGCAGCCGC
rnacentral:rRNA from 1 species